AUGCCCAAUAUGUCAAACCUGCAAAGGCCAGGGUUAUACAUGCCUUUGCCUGUCCCUGUCGCUCCAUGGGAGGACAUCUCUAUGGACUUUGUCUUGGGCUUGCCAAGAACAAGACGAGGAAGUGAUGUUGUAUUUGUGGUCGUGGAUAGAUUCUCUAAGAUGGCUCAUUUCAUCCCAUGCCGCAAAACAACAGAUGCUCAUCAUGUGGCAAACCUAUUCUUUCGAGAAGUGGUCAGACUUCAUGGAGUAGUAGUACCAAGGUCCAUCGUCUCAGACCGUUAUAGCAAGUUUCUUGCUGCAUUUUGGCUCACUUUGUGGAAGCAAUUCAACACUGAAUUGAAAUUUUCUAGCGCUGCUCAUCCACAAACAAAUGGACAAACGGAAGUGGUGAACAAGUUUUUGGGUAAUCUGAUCCGUUGCAUUUGUGGAGAAAGAAAGGGACAAUGGGAUUUGGCUUUAUCUCUUGCAGAAUUCUCCUACAAUAACUCAAAGCAUAGAUCCACAGGAAGGAGCCCUUUUUCCAUUGUCUACACUAAAGUUCCAUCACAUGUGGUGGACCUGGUGAAGCUACCAUCAAGGGGAAACUCAAAAUCAGCAUUGUCCUUUGCUGAUAAUUACACCGAGUUAUUUGAAGAGAUUUGCGGUGCUUUGGAAGCACAAAAUCAGAAAUAUAAACAACUUGUUGAUUGCAAAAGGAGGCCAAAAUCAUUCCAAGACGGUGAUAAGGUGAUGGUCUACCUCCGAAAAGAGAAGCUGCCUUUAGGUGUUAAAGGGAAACUUAGGCAGCGAAGAAGAGUACAUUUGCAAAAUGACUAA
rnacentral:rRNA from 1 species